rnacentral:lncRNA from 1 species
CCCUGUAGUAUUAGAAAAAAAUAAAUUAUUAAAUGAAGUUAUAAUACAAAAUAGAAAUAAUAACAAUUUUUUAAGUUUAUAUAACGAACAGAAAAAAAAAAAAAAAAAAAUUUUCUGAUCAAAUAAAUUAUAAUAGUAAUAUAUUUAAAUUAAAAAAAUAUCAUGAACAAAUAAAAAAGAAUAUAAACAAAAAAAGUAGUUUUUUAUUUAAUGAUUUACCACAUGCGGUUGAUGUGGUUGAUCUUUCAGGAAGAAAUAAACAAAUGUUUUCGUUGGCUACGGAUAGUAGUAAUAGUAAUUAUGGUGAUAAUUUAACUUCUAUGCGUAGGAACACUGUUAAUAUGUUUAGUAAGCAAAACAUUGAACCACUUAUAGAACCAUUCAUGGGACCAUUUGUUGAUAUUGAGCCAUUAAAGACUUCUAAUAAAAAUAAUGUUUCUAAUUUUAAUACAAAUGAAAAAGUAAAUAAUUAUAAUGAUGUAGUAACGUUAGAACAAAAAAAAAAUUGUGGCAUGGGCACACCUAGUGUAACUUGGACAGGUGUUGCAGGUAAUGAUUUUUACCUUGACGAAGAGUAUAAAAAAAAAAAACGUUACACAAUUAAUAUAAAUGGUAAUUAUUAUACAAGAUCUAGUUUUAUAGAAGAAAGUGAUAAAACUGAUGACAACAAAUGGAAUGAUAUAAUUCGUAUAAGUACAAAGGAGGACACUGUUAUGGAAACGUCAUUACAUAAUAAUGGGUCAGUGUUGUUUGAAUCAGAAAAUUUAUAUUAUGAUAAAAAUGACAAAUUUUGUAACAAUAUAAGCUCAAUGUGGAGAAUAAAUACAGGGAGUAACGAUGAUAGUAUUGAUUCUUAUGGUAAAUGUGAAUGUAAUUGCGAAUGUAAUUGCGAAUAUAAAAACAGACAUAAUAUAACAUGUAAUAAAAAUAAAUUUACCAGUUCAUUAAAUGAUAGUAAUAUAAAUAACCUUGCUAAAAAUGAUUAUUUGUUUAAAGGUUUUUCAAACUGUAAUGAAAUAUGUGAUAAGAAUAUGUUUAGUAUGGAAAAUACAAAAGAAAGUUAUGAU